GAUGAACGCUGGCGGCGUGCCUAAUACAUGCAAGUCGAGCGAACAGACGAGGAGCUUGCUCCUCUGACGUUAGCGGCGGACGGGUGAGUAACACGUGGAUAACCUACCUAUAAGACUGGGAUAACUUCGGGAAACCGGAGCUAAUACCGGAUAAUAUAUUGAACCGCAUGGUUCAAUAGUGAAAGACGGUUUUGCUGUCACUUAUAGAUGGAUCCGCGCCGCAUUAGCUAGUUGGUAAGGUAACGGCUUACCAAGGCAACGAUGCGUAGCCGACCUGAGAGGGUGAUCGGCCACACUGGAACUGAGACACGGUCCAGACUCCUGCGGGAGGAAGCAGUAGGGAAUCUUACGCGAUGGGGGAAAGCCUGACGGAGCAACGCCGCGUGAGUGAUGAAGGUCUUCGGAUCGGAAAGCUAUGUUAUUAGGGAAGAACAAAUGUGUAAGUAACUAUGCACGUCUUGACGGUACCUAAUCAGAAAGCCACGGCUAACUACGUG
rnacentral:rRNA from 1 species